GGAGGGGUGGCAGAGUGGUCGAAUGCGUCGGUCUUGAAAACCGGUGGGCGUUUACGCGUCCCGUGGGUUCGAAUCCCACCCCCUCCGCCA
rnacentral:tRNA from 3 species